UACGUAGGGCGCAAGCGUUGUCCGGAAUUAUUGGGCGUAAAGAGCUCGUAGGCGGUCUGUCGCGUCUGCUGUGAAAACUCGGGGCUUAACCCCGGGCCUGCAGUGGGUACGGGCAGACUAGAGUGCGGUAGGGGAGACUGGAAUUCCUGGUGUAGCGGUGAAAUGCGCAGAUAUCAGGAGGAACACCGGUGGCGAAGGCGGGUCUCUGGGCCGUAACUGACGCUGAGGAGCGAAAGCGUGGGUAGCGAACAGG
rnacentral:rRNA from 1 species